UACAAAGGUGAAUAUUUGGUUGAUUUC
rnacentral:sRNA from 1 species